rnacentral:lncRNA from 1 species
GUCGCCGUCGCCGUCUGCGGCGCAGCCGCGCUGGCGGUCGCCGUCUCUCGGUGCGGUCGCGCGAGAUCGAUCGCCGUGGUGGGGCCGGCGCGCGCAGCGACGACACAUCCAGGCCGCGUCUGCGUGGUGCCGGCCCAUGGUGCGUCGCCCUUGCGUGGUGGCGCCGUGAUGGUUGUUGGCGUCGAUGGGGCGUGACUCCGUCGGCGCGCCUCAAACAAUGGCGUCGGCCGACGCAGUGUCGGUCGCUGCUCCGUCUCUUGGCGACGCCCUCGCCGCGUAUCCGAUUCUUUUUUUUCCCUCUCUCUUUUUUUUGCAAAAUAAACAACGACG